AAAAGAAUUUUUCCAGUCUUUGGAUGGGUUCGUACCAAGACUGCUGGAGCUCUUCAAGGCAAAAAAAGGAAGUGUUGGACAAACACUAGAGAGAAUCCUGGCACAGAUUGAAACAUCGACCCAUGAUGAUUUUACCACGCGAACAGUUGUCUUGAAGUGUCUCCCAGUCUUUUUUGGUGACGAUUGGGCAGAGUUCUUCAGAGUCAGUUAUUCUCCAGAUCUUGUGGAGUCACAGGUACCAGUUGCCAUCAUGACUGUUGUCCCAGAAGGUGAACCACUCGAUCUGUUGGACCCUCACCCUGCAACUGUGACACACUGCAUUAUACUUGAAGGUACCGUGGCAAUGGAUACUGCUGGCGGUCUCUCUGAUGCGUUUUGCCUCACAUUUGGGCUUAUGUAUGCCCUUCAUCUGGACUAUCCCAAAAAGAUGCGCAACACCUUUGAGUUUGUGCAGAGGGUGAUGCUAAACUUGGGAGUUGGAAACCUGAGACCAAAAAUUCAAACCUUGAAAAAUGCACUUCAGGACUAGUGUUCUUGUUCAGAUGUUUCAAACAGGCUUAGUUGUAUCAUGUACCCUGUUCAAAAAAGAGGCCUGCUAUAAUUAUACUGCACUUUAAUUUAAACAGUUUUGCUAAUUUCUGAAUACUGAUUGUUUUUUGUUUGUUUUUUUUAAUGCAUUUUAACACCCCUUUUCUUAUUAGGGGAUAUUUUUGAGGUUUUUAGUUUUUUUUGUUUAGUUUAGUUAUGUUUAUCUCGUUCUACUGACCAAAAAUUCAAACCUUGAAAAAUGCACUUCAGGACUAGUGUUCU